ACCAUCUGGCAUUGGCCACUGUCGGAAGACAGGAUACUAGCUAGAUGGACCAUUGGUCUGACCCAGAAUAAAUGGCCGUAUUUAUGUAUCUUACUAAUUUAGAAACAGGAUUGAAUUGAAAUACUUACAUUUUCAUUUAAAAAAAAAGGCAUUUGGCAUUCUUAACAGCUCACAGCUCACUGUUAAGAACAGCUCACUGUUCUUUCAAAUAAUGUUCCCAACCAGGGGAGUUUUGGUAUUCAUGCAUUAGUAAGUUACUAAAACAGAAAAUGAGAGAGAGACAUUAAGGCUUUCAAAAUACAUUCACUUUGUAUACAUAUGUAUACAUAUACAUCACUUUUGCUGAUGAGCUAAAGGCUCUUUAUUGGAUUUAAUUCAAUUUCUUCCUGAACAGCAAAUUUAGAAAACAAAUGUAACAUUAUUUUAGCAACACUGUAUUUUUCAGAAAUAGAGAUGGUCGUAGUCACAGUGCUAUCAGUUAUAAGGAAAGGUUUCAAGACUUACUGAAAUCACAUUUGAAAUUCUGCAACUACCAUUAACAAUGGCAUUGUUUUAAUCUAUUGUUAGUGGACCAAGGUUCCCUGAUUUUAAUAAUCCUGGAAAAGAAUAGUUUCUGUUUUGAAAAAUUCUAAUCUUUGUCUUUUGCCCCUAAAAUAUUUCAGUUUUUGAAAUUUAUUGUGGGAGAUAAUACCAGCCUGUAAUUUUAAAAACAGAGGGGCACAUCCUCAGCCCCAAAAUAUCUUGUAGGUGAAAUGAUUUACUGAAGCAUUAUAAAAAUGAAUUACUGUAAAUGUUUCUAAUGAGGCAUCCAUUUAAAAAAUAAUUUAAUCAUGCUAAUUUGUUGAAGCAGGUGAUUUUGUCCAGGGUGGCAGCUAACGUCAUGUUUUAGCAGCAUCCAAAAGCGGUAGCUCUAGAUUGAUUGCUUUUUUUUUUUAUUAACUAGGAAAGUGAAGGGUGAUCUUCCACAGUCAAUAUUAGGAAAAUCAAAAUAACUUGCAUCUCAGACAACAGAGAAAUAUAUAGAGAAAAGACUGAGUUUUGAACCUUUGAGGUUACUUCUGCUGAAUUAUACAUGAGGGGAAAAACAUGUGGAUCCUCUUAGCUCCACAAUGUAUGUAGUUUAAAGUCAAGAGAAGAACAGGUACAAUUGAUUUAGCUACAAUAAUAUGUUUGCUUUAUUAUAAUGUGGGAAAAUAUAGCACAUAUUUUACAUAAAAAUAAUUGUUGUGAUCAUCAAAUAGAGGCUGAACUACAGGAUGGCUUUGCAUACAGUUCUUAAUCAGAAAAUGAGAUUGUUGUUUCAGAAGAUUUACAGGGGUCUUUUGGACAGCAGUGUGUGACUAGUCCUGUAGGAGUAAUUCUAUUUUCUUUUGCUUAGAAGUGUUACUUGACUUGCCUCAUUUCUCUUUAAUCCUUCAACAACCCAUAACAUUGGUUAAUUUUGGAUGCAAAAUCUACUAUAGAUAGGUGCAUUUGUAAAAUUUUCUUUAUUGGAGACUAUACUAAUAACUUUUGAUAGUAAAUAGCUCAUACCAUGUACAUAAUUUCUGGUCAGAAUUAUUCUCUGAAAAUGAUGUAGCCCAUUUCUGUAAUCUUUGAGGAGGUAUGGUUAAUUUUGUUUUGUGAUACACACUUUUAAAAAUCCUCACAAGGUGGCAGUCUUGAACCAUCUUUUUCAAAUUACUAGAUAUUUAUUUUAAUGAUAUUUGAAUUACAGUGUCAUGUUUCCUACCUUAGUUCGUGUUCGAGAGUUAAAACAUUUAAAGUACUUUAGCACAUAUCCUUAUGUAAUUUUUUUCAAUAACUUGUGUAGCUACAAUGUUUGUGUUCUUAAUUUGUUAACUUUUUUGUUAGGAUUUUAAAAGCCAUGUAUUUUUGCUUAUUAUUUUAAAAAUAUUUGUUUUAAUUCUAGCAAGAUUUGGUAUACUGUGUCUGUGAAAUCCUUGAUCUCUUUUCAUACUUGAUAUUAGAAGAAACAGAAAUUAAGCCUGAAAGCUCACUAUUGAAAUGAGAUGGAAUGAGAGUUGGUACUAGGAGCAGAAGUGGAAGGAGGUGAUUCAUGCUGGUUUUCGGAUACCUUCUCCCAUUGGUGGUGCACAAUGAUUGGGUCAUGUAUAUAACCACAUGGGGGAAUUUGUCAAUCUACUUGUGGUUGAGAGCAUCUGGAACUUUCCCUUUGGAAUGGGAAAUACUCCUGGAACAGGUCUGCUCACUUGUGUGACUGACCUCACUGAAUGUUUGUUUUGUAAUAGUUCAUCAAAUUAUUUUUCUUGUAUUUAACUAUAGUUGUUUUAGUAAUCUGCCUCUUUGUUUUCAAGAAAAGUAGUAUGCUAAUUGGACUUGUGACUGCCAUGUUUUUGUUAUAUAUUUUUUCAUAUUGUUCAUCAUCCAAAGACUAAUGUAGGUGUUUUAUAAAGUAAUAAAUAAAUACAAAUUCCAA